AGGGACACCAGAUGGAGAAGCUCAUGGAAGCCAUGAGGCUCUCCUCUGAGAAAACACAGACUGUUGGAAAUUCUGGGUCUGCUAAUGGGAUUCACCAGCAGGAUAAAUCCCACAAGCAAGAGGAGAAGCUCUGAUAGAGAAGAGGUGGAAAGGAUCAUUUCACGCCAGUAUCAGCUCCUCUGCACAAUCAGGAAAAGCAACACCACAUCUGGCUUUAGCACCUCCAAAAGACCACACACAGUAUUUUCACUUUAAAGCAGGACAAUGUUUAUAAUGUACUAACUGAUGU